GCCAGGUAUGGUGACACACACCUGUAAUCCCAGUGGCUGGGGAGGCUGAGGCUGGAGGAUCGUAAGUUCAAAGCCAGCCUCAGCAAAAGUGCAGCCCUAAGCAACUCAGUGAGAUCCUGUCUCUA
rnacentral:sRNA from 1 species